GGGUUGUGAGGUUAAGCGACUAAGCGUACACGGUGGAUGCCCUGGCAGUCAGAGGCGAUGAAGGACGUGCUAAUCUGCGAUAAGCGUCGGUAAGGUGAUAUGAACCGUUAUAACCGGCGAUUUCCGAAUGGGGAAACCCAGUGUGUUUCGACACACUAUCAUUAACUGAAUCCAUAGGUUAAUGAGGCGAACCGGGGGAACUGAAACAUCUAAGUACCCCGAGGAAAAGAAAUCAACCGAGAUUCCCCCAGUAGCGGCGAGCGAACGGGGAGGAGCCCAGAGCCUGAAUCAGUGUGUGUGUUAGUGGAAGCGUCUGGAAAGGCGCGCGAUACAGGGUGACAGCCCCGUACACAAAAAUGCACAUACUGUGAGCUCGAUGAGUAGGGCGGGACACGUGGUAUCCUGUCUGAAUAUGGGGGGACCAUCCUCCAAGGCUAAAUACUCCUGACUGACCGAUAGUGAACCAGUACCGUGAGGGAAAGGCGAAAAGAACCCCGGCGAGGGGAGUGAAAAAGAACCUGAAACCGUGUACGUACAAGCAGUGGGAGCCUCUUUUAUGGGGUGACUGCGUACCUUUUGUAUAAUGGGUCAGCGACUUAUAUUCUGUAGCAAGGUUAACCGAAUAGGGGAGCCGAAGGGAAACCGAGUCUUAACUGGGCGUUAAGUUGCAGGGUAUAGACCCGAAACCCGGUGAUCUAGCCAUGGGCAGGUUGAAGGUUGGGUAACACUAACUGGAGGACCGAACCGACUAAUGUUGAAAAAUUAGCGGAUGACUUGUGGCUGGGGGUGAAAGGCCAAUCAAACCGGGAGAUAGCUGGUUCUCCCCGAAAGCUAUUUAGGUAGCGCCUCGUGAAUUCAUCUCCGGGGGUAGAGCACUGUUUCGGCAAGGGGGUCAUCCCGACUUACCAACCCGAUGCAAACUGCGAAUACCGGAGAAUGUUAUCACGGGAGACACACGGCGGGUGCUAACGUCCGUCGUGAAGAGGGAAACAACCCAGACCGCCAGCUAAGGUCCCAAAGUCAUGGUUAAGUGGGAAACGAUGUGGGAAGGCCCAGACAGCCAGGAUGUUGGCUUAGAAGCAGCCAUCAUUUAAAGAAAGCGUAAUAGCUCACUGGUCGAGUCGGCCUGCGCGGAAGAUGUAACGGGGCUAAACCAUGCACCGAAGCUGCGGCAGCGACACUGUGUGUUGUUGGGUAGGGGAGCGUUCUGUAAGCCUGUGAAGGUGUACUGUGAGGUAUGCUGGAGGUAUCAGAAGUGCGAAUGCUGACAUAAGUAACGAUAAAGCGGGUGAAAAGCCCGCUCGCCGGAAGACCAAGGGUUCCUGUCCAACGUUAAUCGGGGCAGGGUGAGUCGACCCCUAAGGCGAGGCCGAAAGGCGUAGUCGAUGGGAAACAGGUUAAUAUUCCUGUACUUGGUGUUACUGCGAAGGGGGGACGGAGAAGGCUAUGUUGGCCGGGCGACGGUUGUCCCGGUUUAAGCGUGUAGGCUGGUUUUCCAGGCAAAUCCGGAAAAUCAAGGCUGAGGCGUGAUGACGAGGCACUACGGUGCUGAAGCAACAAAUGCCCUGCUUCCAGGAAAAGCCUCUAAGCAUCAGGUAACAUCAAAUCGUACCCCAAACCGACACAGGUGGUCAGGUAGAGAAUACCAAGGCGCUUGAGAGAACUCGGGUGAAGGAACUAGGCAAAAUGGUGCCGUAACUUCGGGAGAAGGCACGCUGAUACGUAGGUGAAGUCCCUCGCGGAUGGAGCUGAAAUCAGUCGAAGAUACCAGCUGGCUGCAACUGUUUAUUAAAAACACAGCACUGUGCAAACACGAAAGUGGACGUAUACGGUGUGACGCCUGCCCGGUGCCGGAAGGUUAAUUGAUGGGGUCAGCGCAAGCGAAGCUCUUGAUCGAAGCCCCGGUAAACGGCGGCCGUAACUAUAACGGUCCUAAGGUAGCGAAAUUCCUUGUCGGGUAAGUUCCGACCUGCACGAAUGGCGUAAUGAUGGCCAGGCUGUCUCCACCCGAGACUCAGUGAAAUUGAACUCGCUGUGAAGAUGCAGUGUACCCGCGGCAAGACGGAAAGACCCCGUGAACCUUUACUAUAGCUUGACACUGAACAUUGAGCCUUGAUGUGUAGGAUAGGUGGGAGGCUUUGAAGUGUGGACGCCAGUCUGCAUGGAGCCGACCUUGAAAUACCACCCUUUAAUGUUUGAUGUUCUAACGUGGACCCGUGAUCCGGGUUGCGGACAGUGUCUGGUGGGUAGUUUGACUGGGGCGGUCUCCUCCUAAAGAGUAACGGAGGAGCACGAAGGUUGGCUAAUCCUGGUCGGACAUCAGGAGGUUAGUGCAAUGGCAUAAGCCAGCUUGACUGCGAGCGUGACGGCGCGAGCAGGUGCGAAAGCAGGUCAUAGUGAUCCGGUGGUUCUGAAUGGAAGGGCCAUCGCUCAACGGAUAAAAGGUACUCCGGGGAUAACAGGCUGAUACCGCCCAAGAGUUCAUAUCGACGGCGGUGUUUGGCACCUCGAUGUCGGCUCAUCACAUCCUGGGGCUGAAGUAGGUCCCAAGGGUAUGGCUGUUCGCCAUUUAAAGUGGUACGCGAGCUGGGUUUAGAACGUCGUGAGACAGUUCGGUCCCUAUCUGCCGUGGGCGCUGGAGAACUGAGGGGGGCUGCUCCUAGUACGAGAGGACCGGAGUGGACGCAUCACUGGUGUUCGGGUUGUCAUGCCAAUGGCACUGCCCGGUAGCUAAAUGCGGAAGAGAUAAGUGCUGAAAGCAUCUAAGCACGAAACUUGCCCCGAGAUGAGUUCUCCCUGACUCCUUGAGAGUCCUGAAGGAACGUUGAAGACGACGACGUUGAUAGGCCGGGUGUGUAAGCGCAGCGAUGCGUUGAGCUAACCGGUACUAAUGAACCGUGAGGCUUAACCUUACAACGCCGAAG
rnacentral:rRNA from 1 species